GGUUCCCAAACCAGUCCUCAUGGUCCACCAACAGUCCAGAUUAUGUUAGUAUCCCAAGUGGAAUAAAAAAGGUAAGUACAUAAAUCCUGGAUUGUUGGUGGGCCAUGAGGACUAAUUUAGGAAC